AAAAACAAAACAAAAACAAAACAGGGUGAAACUGAAGGGUUUUUACAAAGUUGAAAAUUGUACCCCAUCACUUCAGUGUCAAUAAGUAACAAAACUCAUGGGAAUAUUAAAGCUCUUUUUAGAAGGCUAAAAAUAAUCCCUUCCCCCAACUUUUCUGCCGGGCUUGACAGUCUGUUUUGGCUAAAGUCCAUCUCGUAACGGUCUAAGGUAAACUACUGCCUAACUAAUCUUUUUUUAGAAUUCCAGGCUGAGUAAACUUCAGAGGCUCCUGAUUAAUGUCCAAGAGUCCCAUGGAGGCCUGUCCUUUCUCAACUGCCUCCCAAAGCCGACCAUCGCAUUGAUUUUUCUUUGUUCCAAAUCCCCAUGAAAUAAACCGAGCCUUAAAAGUGAACAGAGUUGUCCACAAACGUGACACCUGCUUUGCCACUUGAAGCAACGAAGCCAACGGAAAGGGAGAAAAAACGCACCUGCUCAGCAUCUUCAUUUGCCAAAGUUCAUCCCGUUUCCCGUGAUCCUCCGCCCCUGCUCCGAGGGUCCUUGGCCUCCACUUCCCACCGUCCUUCCCUUCCCUCUUUGGGGAAAGUUCUGAGACUUUUCAGACACAGGAGUUCAUGCGUGAAGCUGCCUCUUCUCAGGGGGAACCUGUCAUACAAUUUAAAAGCUACCUUUUCUGGAUUCCCGUCGUGGCUCCGCAGAAACCAAUCUGCGGAGCAUCCAUGAGGAUGCAGGUUCCAUCCCUGGCCUCCACGCAUUGGGUUAAGGAUCUGGCGUGGCCGUGAGCUAUGGUGUCAGGUGCAGACGUGGCUCGGAUCUGGCGUGGCUGUGGCUGUGGCACAGGCCAGUGGCUACAGCUCCAAUUCAACCCCUAGCCUGGGAACCUCCAUAGGCCGUGAGUGCGGCCCUAAAGAUAAAUAAAUAAAUAAAAGCUACCUUUUCAGAUGGACCCAUGAUAUGCUGCGGAACUGGGACUCUUGUCAUAUGCUUUUCUCAUCACUUAGUCUUGCAAACGAGCCCACGAUGCUGUGAUCACUGUUAACAUGUGCAGGAUAUUACAGAGGAGGCAAGACGUGGGGCGGUACCUCCAGGUCUCGAGGCCACUCAGUGGCAGAGGUGGGACUGGGACCAGGGAUGUCCUGGCGGUUACCCCCACACCCCUGAUCAGAGACGACACUGAGCAAACUUAACAGACGGCACUGACCGAUAUGAGCAAACUGAACAGACGGCACUGACCGAUGUGAACAGACACGGGUCCUGCAGGUGCCCUUCUCCCAACAAAGCAGGUGUUACCCCUGCAGGUGAUGAAGCAGCCAGGACGCCCAGAGGGGUGUGGGCUCCCGAGGGGUCUGAGGAGGACCGCUCAUCUGAGAGAGUGGAAGGACGUGAUGGUCCAGCACCCGUGUGUCCACCAGUGCGACGCGCUGGCCGAACAGCAGCCUUGCUCUUUCUACAUCGUCACCCCGCCUUCAAAUGGUCACCAUCACGAGUCCCCACCAUCUAGGGCAGAAGAAGGUGGGUCAAAGGGACAGUGAAAAGGCCUGCUGGGUCCUGGGCUACCUACAGGACUCUUUACCGCCAAUGUCUCAGACGCUCCUCAAACUCCUGGGAUUAAAAUCCUCCAAGGAGAGGCUUUAAUUUUGGCUUGUGCAU
rnacentral:lncRNA from 1 species